UAGACACACCAGUUCCCACACAAUCACCAAAGUUAAGCAAUGUCAAGCCUGGUCAGUACCUAGAUGGGUGACUUCUUGGAAAGGCAAGGUGUUAUA